rnacentral:rRNA from 1 species
UACGUAGGGGGCGAGCGUUGUCCGGAUUUAUUGGGCGUAAAGAGCGCGUAGGCGGCCAGGUAGGUCGGUUGUGAAAACUGGAGGCUUAACCUUCAGACGUCGACCGAAACCAUCUGGCUAGAGUCCGGAAGAGGAGAGUGGAAUUCCUGGUGUAGCGGUGAAAUGCGCAGAUAUCAGGAAGAACACCCGUGGCUAAGGCGGCUCGCUAGUACGGUACUGACGCUGAGACGCGAAAGCGUGGGGAGCGAACAGG